UACGUAGGGUGCGAGCGUUGUCCGGAAUUAUUGGGCGUAAAGGGCUCGUAGGCGGUCUGUCGCGUCGGGAGUGAAAACUCAGGGCUUAACCCUGAGCCUGCUUCCGAUACGGGCAGACUAGAGGUAUGCAGGGGAGAACGGAAUUCCUGGUGUAGCGGUGAAAUGCGCAGAUAUCAGGAGGAACACCGGUGGCGAAGGCGGUUCUCUGGGCAUUACCUGACACUGAGGAGCGAAAGUGUGGGGAGCGAACGGG
rnacentral:rRNA from 1 species